rnacentral:rRNA from 1 species
UACGUAGGGCGCAAGCGUUGUCCGGAAUUAUUGGGCGUAAAGAGCUCGUAGGCGGUUUGUCGCGUCUGCUGUGAAAACCUAAGGCUCAACCUUGGGCUUGCAGUGGGUACGGGCAGACUAGAGUGCGGUAGGGGUGACUGGAAUUCCUGGUGUAGCGGUGGAAUGCGCAGAUAUCAGGAGGAACACUGAUGGCGAAGGCAGGUCACUGGGCCGCAACUGACGCUGAGGAGCGAAAGCAUGGGGAGCGAACAGG